GCGGUAAUGCUUCGAAACGGCAGAUGGGCAGAGAGGGGGCCAUAGGAGGAGGCGCUCGAGCGGAGGGGGAGACGAGGCGAUUUCCGUCAGGUUCAUGGUGUUUGCGAGAUCCCUCUAUCCUCGAGCUUGGGUUUUCUCUUUGAUUCACUGCUCCCCAGGUUAGUUGUCGUUGUCGCUCUCCCUUUCCCCGCGCAAUUUGGUAUGGUUCUGAUCAUGUAGCUUCCAGAUCUAGGUUUGUUGGUGCGUUGUUGUUGUAGGUCCUGUUGCUGUUUGAUGAUUUUAGCGGUUGGUUAGUGCGAUUUGUUGUUAGCCAAUGCUCAUUUGUGCAGUUCGCCGCAGAUCCCCUCUUCUCCGUGGAUCCCCUCUGCUCGCGCCAGUUCGUCAUGGAGAACGUCUGCUCCGGUGUUAGGUUUUAGAUUUGAUCUCCUUGUUGUGGGCACUGUUAGGUUGGGCGUUGAUGUGUUUGUCUUCCGACGGGGUUAGGUUUUGUGUUUUUUUCAUGUGUGCAGGCGUGUCUCUGUGUGUGAUUCAGAGCUUUUGCAGUUGAAGUUCAAUCAUCUGGUGGUUGUUUAGUGUUUGAAUGCUACUGAUCUGUUUUGAUUGCUACUGAGACUUUGCAGUUUGAAGUCCAGUCAUCUGGUAGUUGUUUAGUGAUUGAUUACCAGUAGAAACGGGGGAAGAGCUAUGAAUUUCUCUGGUAUGGUAGUAUAGGGAUUCCCCUUUCUUGUUGAUUGCUUGGUCCAGUUUGGGCUAGCUAUGAAUUACACUGUAAUACCCCCCAGAUUUAUACUGCUAUUCUUCUCUGAUUUACACUGUAUUUGUAGCACUGAUUUUACAUUUGUAAUCCCCGUAGUUUUACUUUUGUAAGAUUUUCUCUGUAAUGUGUCUCUGAACCCCAGUUUCUAUGAUGUGAAGUUUUUCUGAAUUUCUGUAUAUUGUAUCUCUAAAGUACAUUGUAAGACGCUGUAAUUGCACUGUAACUUCUUGUGGUUUUUGCAAUACAAUCCUCUAGAUUACCCCCACUGUAAUUCUCGUGCUUUUGGACUGUAACUCCCUAGAGUUACACUGUAGUGCCCAUUUAGCCCUAUUUUACACUGUACUUUUUUCAGACUUUUCACUGUAAUUCUUGCCUUGCUUACUAUGCAAAUUGCAUCAGCAUUACAGUGUAGUUCCCACCCUUGAUUACUAUAUAAUUUGCAUUAGUAUUAUAGUGUAAUUUCCCCAGUUUUUUUACUGUAAUUUGGAUCAUUUAUUACACUUUAUUUCCUGCCUUGAUUACACUGUAAUUCGUGCCUUGAUUUUCAGUGGAAUGCCCCUCCGGGUUACUCUAUAAUUCUGAGUAUUUACACUGUAUUUUGUUCAGACUUUUCACUGUAAUUCUUGUCUUGUUUACUAUGUAAUUGCAUCAACAUUACAGUGUAAUUUCCAUAGUUUUUUUACUGUAAUUUGCAUCAGUUAUUGCACUGUAAUUCUUGCCUUGAUUACACUGUAAUUCCUGCCUUGAUUACACUGUAAUUCAUGCCUUGAUUUACAGUGGAAAGCCCCUCUGGGUUACUAUAUAAUUCUGAGUAUUUUUACAGUGUUAGUUUGCUUAGUUUUUUGUGUUUUACCGCCUCACUAUACACUGUAAGUUGGACCAGUAUUACUGUGUAAGCGGGAUCAGUAUUACAGUGUAAUUACUGUCUUGUUUACACUGUAUUUUUUAUCAGUAUUACAGUGUUGUGUAAUUUUGUUUCCUGCCUUGAUUUUACGGUGUAGUUUGCAUAAGUUUUACCAUGUAAUUUCCCUAGUUUUAUUUUUUGUGUAAUUCCUGCCUUGAUUUUAUUAUUUUGGAUCAGUAUUAAUAGUUACUUCUCUGUAGUUUUCAGCUUCAUUAUCUAUGGGGAGGCUACGGAAAGUCUCUCACAAGGAUGUUCCGGAAGCAUCUUCUAUUGAGAGUGUGGAUCCUUUGCAAGACCCCUUCGUGCCUAAUGACUUUGCGGAAGAUGGUUCUAAUUGCUGUAGGGCUUACACUGUAAUAUGAUUGAGCACUGUAAUUGUUUUAGGGCUUAUACUGUAAUUUAUCAGAGUCUUACUCUGUAAUUGUUGUAGGGCUUAUAGUAUUUGUUAGAUACAUUACAAUGGAUUUUACCUCUGAAUUGUGGGGCUUACACUGUAAUAUACUGCAGAUUUACACUGUAAUUUGAAUACUUCAGCACUGUAAUUGUUUUAGGGCUUACAGAGUAUUUUUCAGAUAGAUCACAGUGGAUUUUUACGUCUAAUUUUAUGGUGCAUUUAUGAGCGUUGAUACCUGGGAAUAACAGUGUAAUUCCGGGGGAUUUACAGUGCAAUUAGUGGGCACUUUGACUGUAAUUCGUGGGUGUUUACAGUGUAACUUCAUCAGUUAUUCAAAUGUAAAUCCUUGGGAACUUGCAGUGUCAUUUCGUUUGUAUUUACGGUGUAAAUCCACUGUAUGCUUUUUCAGAGUUUGCACUUUAAUUUUCAGCUAUCAGGAUUUGUAGUGUAAUUUCUAUUGUUUUGCUAUUGUAAUUUUUGGCAUUAGACUGCAAUUUUUUUGUUAUUCCAGAGUUUUAUAAUUGCUAGCAAUCAAACAUUCCACAGUUUCCUGUUGUCUUUGGAAUUUCUUUGUAACUAGUUUCUCUGAUGUUUCUAGGUGAAGCGGGGUGAAGGGGAUGAAGAAUUUGUGAAGCUAGUGAAGGG
rnacentral:lncRNA from 1 species